rnacentral:tRNA from 1 species
GUGUAGUUCAGUAGUAGAACACUUAUCUUGUAUGUAUGUGGCCCUUGGUUCCAUUCCUAGCAC